UUAUAUGUAGUUGCUAUAUCAUGAUGUCAAUUGCUUGUAAAACAUGUUUGUUAGAUAUAUUUUAGGGCUACUCAUUUCCUAUCUUUUAGUCCGCCAGAAGACAUCAAUGCGUAUCAGUUGUGAGGAUAUUUCAGAUCUUGCCUGCUACCUCUUGCAGAUCGGACAAAAAAGAGAAAUGGAAGCUGUUGUCGUGUUCAUCAUCCAGGGCUGUGGUCAGGGCCGUGUUCGUCACCCAGGGCCGUGAUCAUCAUCAUCAUCCAGGGCUGAGGUCAGAGCCGUGAUCAUCAUCAUCCAGGGCUGAGGUCAGAGCCGUGAUCAUCAUCAUCCAGGGCUGUGGUCAGGGCCGUGUUCGUCAUCCAGAUACAUGCAAGCCCUGUCGACCUGUGAGACACACAGAGCCACCCACGCAGCUGGCAGUUCUGUGAGCCCUGCUUUUAGAGCCGCUCCAGAGGUCAUCCUCUGUCUGCUAACACAAAUCAUUGAGUUCUAAACAGAGCCGAGAAGAGAGAUGGGAUCUUUUAAACCUAUUAUACAAUGUAUUUUAGAGCACGGCAAACAUGAUUGCAUGGUUUUAAACACACAGUCAGAUUAACAAAUGCCCUAAAUCAGUCGGAAUUUGAAUAACAAGCUUCUUUUUUCCCUAG